UUUUACGCCUCCCUCACCUUGCCACGCGAUGUGCCGUGGGGCGGAAAAUGCACAGAGGGCACAGUCGUGAAGGAUGCUGUUCUUGCCAGUUUCUCCGUUCGUACGAUUUUAUUUCCUUCCAUCCGGGUGUGGGCAGAGUAUUCCCACUUGGCACGGGGCUUUUCUCUGACGUUUUCCUCUGUCGUUUCCAUCUCCCCCACGAGUACCUUUGCCGCUGGGUGCUGCGAGCGUCAGGUAAGUUCGCUCUUGCCGCUUUUUGAGGGGCGCUCUUUUGCUUUUCAGUUUUUUUUUUGUCUUCGAGUCAAGGCGCGCGCAGCGCAUACACGGGGGCCGUCUUCUUUUGGUGCCUCAUGGAACCCCGCACCCUGCGUGGCGCGCGAAGAUACAUACAGGUAUGUAUAUAUACGCUUGCGGUCUUCUGUGGUCGUACGUGUGGUUCUCGACGUUUUUCCGCCUUUCUGCAGUUCUCUCCUUUUUUUUUCGCUGUUUGGUGGAGCAUGUAAUCUUCUUCCACCCCCUUGCUGAAGACACCUCCAAAUCCGUGUUCCUUCCGAUUUGAGUAGACCCUUUUCCGGUGUCAGAGGUGUUCGGGCUUUAUCGCGUUGCCAGGGCAAGGACCGCCUCAAGCGCCAGUGCCUGCCUCUGAGAAUCGUUGCCUCUAUAAAGACCGUUUUCUCUCGCAGAGGCAAAGGGCGGACUUCUGGCAUUCGACCACUCUCUCCGGCGUACGCGCGCACAUUCUGUUUAUCCCCUUCCUCCCUUGACACGCUUUUUUUUUUGUGGCACCGCCACCUCGAACCCACUUACCAGCCCAGCCACAGCCGGUAAACCAGCGGGGUGGGGUGACUGCGAAAUGAUUUACAACGGUAAUGACAAAGUAGCACAAAAUGACGCACUUUCCGGCGUUAUCAUUGUACUUCCCCAGCGUGUGCUAAGCUGCGGAUUGGGCAGAGCACACUGCUUUUCGCGAGUGGCCAGACGACGCACGACGAGCGGAAGGGAACGCACCUUCUCUCCCCAGUCUCACGCGGUUAGCCGAGGGAAGACAAAAAGUAUCCCCCACCCGUGGUGGGAUCAAAUAUUCCCUGCAGUAGGAGUAAUGGAGUCUUUAGUUCAGCACUAAGUGAACAGUCACCUGAGGUUCUUGCGUUCGCUUUCCUAUUCCUCAAAGCGGCACAAGAUAAAAGUGGACGCGCAACAACAAAAGCAUCCUUUCCUUUUGAAAAUUGAAGUUACCGCUCAUGACUUUUUCUUCUAGCCAGCAAGGCACGUUCCUUUCCCUCAGCCUGUGAAUCGGCGCCCCGUAAUCUUGCCCAUGCCCCUCCAAUGGGAAACGCCGCUACCCACAGACCUCCCACAACAUAGUGCAAACGUCCCUGCAGAAAGUGGU
rnacentral:misc_RNA from 1 species